rnacentral:rRNA from 1 species
UAUGUGAUCGUCUCUCGCAUAUCAAUAAGCGGAGGAAAAGAAACUAACAAGGAUUCCCCUAGUAACGGCGAGUGAAGCGGGAAGAGCUCAAAUUUGAAAUCUUAAAGGGUUUCCCUUUACGAAUUGUAGUUUAAAGAAGUGUUUUUUGUUGAGGUUUUGGUAAAAGUUCUUUGGAAUAGGACAUCAUAGAGGGUGAGAAUCCCGUAUUUGACCUUUACUUUCAACUUUGUGAUACACUUUCAAAGAGUCGGAUUGUUUGGGAAUGCAGUCCAGAAUGGGUGGUAAAUUUCAUCUAAAGCUAAAUAUUGGCGAGAGACCGAUAGCGAACAAGUACCGUGAGGGAAAGAUGAAAAGAACUUUGAAAAGAGAGUUAAACAGUACGUGAAAUUGUCAAAAGGGAAGCGUUUGACACCAGUGUUGUUUUUCUGAAAAUCAAUUAAAGAACUGUUUAUGCUAAGUUGGUUAGACUUUAUCAGCUAACUGUUUAGUUUUGAGCUUUUCUUUAAUGCACUUUUCAGUUAACAAGUCAGCAUCAAUUUCUUUUGCUGUAAAAAAGCUUGAGGAAGGUGGCUUGAGAUUCGUCUUAAGUGUUUAUAGCCUCUUGCCUAUGCAGUCGGAGAGAUUGAGGUCUGCAGCGUAGAUCCUUCGGGGCUAAAUGCAUUUGUGCUAAGUUAUAGCAUUUUAUAGACAACUUGUUGACUAUGAUUUAGUCUUGUAGCUUACCUCGCUUAUGUUAUUUUACCUACGCUUAGGAUGUUGACACACGCGCGUGCUCG